rnacentral:rRNA from 1 species
UACGAAGGGGGCUAGCGUUGCUCGGAAUCACUGGGCGUAAAGGGUGCGUAGGCGGGUCUUAAGUCAGGGGUGAAAUCCUGGAGCUCAACUCCAGAACUGCCUUCGAUACUGCGGGUCUCGAGUCCGGGAGAGGUGAGUGGAAUUCCUAGUGUAGAGGUGAAAUUCGUAGAUAUUAGGAAGAACACCAGUGGCGAAGGCGGCUCACUGGCCCGGUACUGACGCUGAGGCGCGAAAGCGUGGGGAGCAAACAGGG